GCGGGGAGUGGCGCACUGCUCAGUAACACGUAGCUAACCUAACCUCAAGACGGAAAUAACCCCGGGAAACUGGGGUCAAUGUCCGAUAGAUGUGAAUUCCUGGAAUGGUAUCACAUCCAAACGUCAACACACCAUGUUGUGCGAACGCUUGAGGAUGGGGCUGCGGCCGAUCAGGCUGUUGGUGGGGUAAUGGCCCACCAAACCUUUGACCGGUAUGGGCCAUGAGAGUGGUAGCCCAGAGAUGGACACUGAGACAAGGGUCCAGGCCCUACGGGGCGCAGCCGGUACGAAACCUCCACAAUGCACGCAAGUGCGAUGGGGUUAUCUCGAGUGCUAUCUGAAAAAGGUAGCUUUUCCAUGGUCUAAAUAGCCGUGGGAAUAAGGGGGGGGCAAGACUGGUGUCAGCCGCCGCGGUAACACCAGCCCCCCGAGUGGUAGGGAUGUUUAUUUGGCCUAAAGCGUCCGUAGCCGGCUAAGUAAAUUUCUCGUUAAAUCCAACGUCCUAAGCGUUGGCUGCGAGAAAGACUGCUUAGCUAGAGGGUGGGAGAGGUCAGCGGUAUUCCUGGGGUAGGGGCGAAAUCCAUUGAACCCAGGAGGACCACCAGUGGCGAAGGCUGCUGACUAGAACACGCCUGACGGUGAGGGACGAAAGCUGGGGUAGCGAAUCGGAUUAGAUACCCGAGUAGUCCCAGCCGUAAACGAUGCAGACUAGGUGUUGGGUUGGCCACGCGCCGACUCAGUGCCACAGGGAAGCCAUUAAGUCUGCCGCCUGGGAAGUACGGCCGCAAGGCUGAAACUUAAAGGAAUUGGCGGGGGAGCACCACCAGGCGUGAAGCCUGCGGUUUAAUUGGAGUCAACGCCGGGAACCUUACCGGGAGCGACAGCAGAGUGAAGGCCAGGCUAAAGGUCUUGCCAGACGAGCUGAGAGGAGGUGCAUGGCCGUCGCCAGUUCGUGCCGUGAGGUGUCCUCUUAAGUGAGGUAACGAACGAGACCCGCGCCGCAUGUUGCUAACAAGUCCUAAAGGGAUGUUGAGCACUCUUGCGGGACCGCAGCCGACAAGGCUGAGGAAGGUGCGGGCAACGGCAGGUCAGUAUGCCCCGAAUCUCCCGGGCCACACGCGGGCUGCAAUGGUAGAGACAGAGGGCUGCAACCCCGAAAGGGGAAGCCAAUCCCUAAACUCUACCUCAGUUGGGAUUGAGGGCUGCAACCC
rnacentral:rRNA from 1 species